rnacentral:rRNA from 1 species
UGGUCGUAAACAGAGGGAAGCGUAACCGCGAGGUAGAGCAAAUCCCCAAAAACGGUCUCAGUUCGGAUUGCAGGCUGCAACUCGCCUGUAUGAAGUCGGAAUUGCUAGUAAUCGCGGAUCAGCAUGCCGCGGUGAAUACGUUCCCGGGCCUUGUACACACCGCCCGUCACACCAUGAGAGCCGGGAACACCCGAAGUCCGUAGUCUAACCGCAAGGAGGACGCGGCCGAAGGUGGGUUUGGUAAUUGGGGUGAAGUCGUAACAAGGUACC